rnacentral:rRNA from 1 species
CAGUCGCCGCGGUAAUACGAAGGGGGCUAGCGUUGCUCGGAAUGACUGGGCGUAAAGGGCGCGUAAGCGGCUUGUACAGUCAGAUGUGAAAUUCCUGGGCUUAACCUGGGGGCUGCAUUCGAUACGUGCGGGCUAGAAUGUGAAAGAGGGUCGUGGAAUUCCCAGUGUAGAGGUGAAAUUCGUAGAUAUUGGGAAGAACACCGGUGGCGAAGGCGGCGACCUGGUUCAUGAUUGACGCUGAGGCGCGAAAGCGUGGGGAGCAAACAGGAUUAGAUACCCCCGUAGUCCCUGUCUCUUAUAA